UACGUAGGGGGCAAGCGUUGUCCGGAAUCAUUGGGCGUAAAGCGCGCGUAGGCGGCCCGGUAAGUCCGUUGUGAAAGUCAAAGGCUCAACCUUUGAAAGCCGAUGGAUACUGUGAAGCUAGAGUACGGAAGAGGCGAGUGGAAUUCCUGGUGUAGCGGUGGAAUGCGCAGAUAUCAGGAGGAACACCAAUAGCGAAGGCAGCUCGCUGGGACGUUACUGACACUGAGGCGCGAAAGCGUGGGGAGUGAACAGG
rnacentral:rRNA from 1 species